CAGUCGCCGCGGUAAUACGGAGGGUGCAAGCGUUAAUCGGAAUUACUGGGCGUAAAGCGCACGCAGGCGGUCUGACAAGUCAGAUGUGAAAUCCCCGGGCUUAACCUGGGAACUGCAUUUGAAACUGUCAGGCUGGAGUCUUGUAGAGGGGGGUGGAAUUCCAGGUGUAGCGGUGAAAUGCGUAGAGAUCUGGAGGAAUACCGGUGGCGAAGGCGGCCCCCUGGACAAAGACUGACGCUUAGGUGCGAAAGCGUGGGGAGCAAACAGGAUUAGAUACCCCUGUAGUCCCUGUCUCUUAUAC
rnacentral:rRNA from 1 species